rnacentral:rRNA from 1 species
GACGAACCGUCCAAACGUUAUUCGGAAUCACUGGGCUUAAAGGGUGCGUAGGCGGCCCGGGAAGUUGGGUGUGAAAGCCCUCGGCUUAACCGAGGAACGGCGCCCAAAACUGCCGGGCUUGAGGGAGAUAGAGGUGAGCGGAACUUAGGGUGGAGCGGUGAAAUGCGUUGAUAUCCUAAGGAACACCCGUAGCGAAAGCGGCUCACUGGGUCUUUUCUGACGCUGAGGCACGAAAGCUAGGGGAG